UGGGGAAUUUUGGACAAUGGGCGCAAGCCUGAUCCAGCCAUGCCGCGUGAGUGAAGAAGGCCUUCGGGUUGUAAAGCUCUUUUGCCAGGGACGAUAAUGACGGUACCUGGAGAAUAAGCCCCGGCAAACUUCGUGCCAGCAGCCGCGGUAAUACGAAGGGGGCUAGCGUUGUUCGGAAUUACUGGGCGUAAAGCGCACGUAGGCGGAUUGUUAAGUCAGAGGUGAAAUCCCGGAGCUCAACUUCGGAACUGCCUUUGAUACUGGCAAUCUAGAGUCCGGAAGAGGUUAGUGGAAUUCCCAGUGUAGAGGUGAAAUUCGUAGAUAUGCGGAGGAACACCGAUGGCGAAGGCAAUCCCCUGGACCUGUACUGACGCUCAUGCACGAAAGCGUGGGGAGCAAAACAGGAUUAGAUACCCACGUAGUCCCUGAGCGGGCUGGCAAGGCGCAU
rnacentral:rRNA from 1 species